rnacentral:tRNA from 1 species
GUAAGUGUAUGCAAGAGGUUAAAGCAGGCUGUCUGUAAAACAGUUCCUUUAAGGUUCAUAGGUUCAAAUCCUAUCACUUACA